UUGGGGUAUUCGAUUGGGAAGACAGCAGUUCCACUUUGCUUCGAUCAUGGUUUACCGGCAGCAAGUAUCUCCGACCGUGAAAUCUGGCAACAAUAACUUCAGCUGAGGGUCAACAGAGAUGUCUUCGAAUCUGGGAUUCUGAUUCGGGACGAGCACUUUGACGGGAGCUAGUUUAGCAUGAUCGACAAAAAAAGGUAACAGGAGAUGAUUGAUAAGUUGCUUGGAGAGCCCCGGCUACCAGUCCCACGUCACACUCGAGGACAGUCACUUUUCGAUCUUAUUUCUAUUUGAUAGUAUAGUGAAUUUGUGCAUUUUGUUUUUCAAUAAUUCGAUGUGGAUUUUGGAGUCUAUUGUGGUGGUUGCAAGUAUUUUAGUU